rnacentral:rRNA from 1 species
GGUAAGUGGAAUUCUGCAUGUAGGGGUAAUAUCCGUAGAUAUGCAGAGGAACACCAAAAGCGAAGGCAGCUUACUGGACCAGUUCUGACGCUCAAGAACGAAANCCGUGGGUAGCGAACGGGAUUAGAUACCCCGGUAGUCCACGCCUUAAACGAUGAACACUAGGUAUUGGGGGUCUCGACCCCUUCAGGGCCGACGCAAAUGCAAUAAGUGUUCCGCCUGGGUAGUACGAGCGCAAGCUUAAAACUCAAAGGAAUAGACGGGGACCCACACAAGCGGUGGAGCAUCUGGUUUAAUUCGACAAUAAGCGAGGAACCUUACCAAGGCUUGACAUCCCGAGAAGAUCGCCGAAAGGUGAUUGUGCCGUUAGGAACUCGGUGACAGGUGCUGCAUGGUUGUCGUCAGCUCGUGCCUUGAGGUGUUCGGUUAAGUCCGUGAACGAGCGCAACCCUUGUCUCAAGUUGCAUAUUUCUUGAGAGACUGCCGGUUUCAAAUCGGAGGAAGGUAAGGAUGACGUCAAAUCAGCAUGGCCCUUAUGUCUUGGGCGACACAGGUGCUACAAUGGCCGGUACAAUGGGCAGCGAAGGAGCAAUCUGGAGCAAAUCCUCAAAACCGGUCCAAGUUCGAAUUGAAGGCUGCAACUCGCCUUCAUGAAGUUGGAAUCGCUAGUAACCGCAUAUCAGCCA